CCUACGGGAUGCAGCAGUGGGGAAUAUUGCACAAUGGGCGCAAGCCUGAUGCAGCCAUGCCGCGUGUAUGAAGAAGGCCUUCGGGUUGUAAAGUACUUUCAGCGGGGAGGAAGGCGAUAAGGUUAAUAACCUUGUCGAUUGACGUUACCCGCAGAAGAAGCACCGGCUAACUCCGUGCCAGCAGCCGCAGUAAUACGGAGGGUGCAAGCGUUAAGCGGAAUUACUGGGCGUAAAGCGCACGCAGGCGGUCUGUCAAGUCGGAUGUGAAAUCCCCGGGCUCAACCUGGGAACUGCAUUCGAAACUGGCAGGCUAGAGUCUUGUAGAGGGGGGUAGAAUUCCAGGUGUAGCGGUGAAAUGCGUAGAGAUCUGGAGGAAUACCGGAGGCGAAGGCGGCCCCCUGGACAAAGACUGACGCUGAGGCGCGAAAGCGAGGGGAGCAAACAGGAUUAGAUACCCCAGUAGUC
rnacentral:rRNA from 1 species